rnacentral:rRNA from 1 species
UACGGGGGGAGCAAGCGUUGUUCGGAUUUACUGGGCGUAAAGGGCGGGUAGGCGGCCACCGCAAGUCGACUGUGAAAUCUCCGGGCUUAACCCGGAAAGGUCAGCCGAUACUGCGGGGCUAGAGUGCAGAAGGGGCAACUGGAAUUCUCGGUGUAGCGGUGAAAUGCGCAGAUAUCAGGAGGAACACCGGUGGCGAAGGCGGGUCUCUGGGCCGUAACUGACGCUGAGGAGCGAAAGCAUGGGGAGCGAACAGG